rnacentral:rRNA from 1 species
UACUCUUGGCCAGCCUUCUGAAAGGAAGAUUAAUCCAGGAUGGGAUCAUGAGUUCACAUGUCCGCAUGAUUAAAGGUAUUUUCCGGUAGACGAUGGGGAUGCGUUCCAUUAGAUAGUAGGCGGGGUAACGGCCCACCUAGUCAACGAUGGAUAGGGGUUCUGAGAGGAAGGUCCCCCACAUUGGAACUGAGACACGGUCCAAACUCCUACGGGAGGCAGCAGUGAGGAAUAUUGGUCAAUGGGCGAUGGCCUGAACCAGCCAAGUAGCGUGAAGGAUGACUGCCCUAUGGGUUGUAAACUUCUUUUAUAAAGGAAUAAAGUCGGGUAUGCAUACCCGUUUGCAUGUACUUUAUGAAUAAGGAUCGGCUAACUCCGUGCCAGCAGCCGCGGUAAUACGGAGGAUCCGAGCGUUAUCCGGAUUUAUUGGGUUUAAAGGGAGCGUAGAUGGAUGUUUAAGUCAGUUGUGAAAGUUUGCGGCUCAACCGUAAAAUUGCAGUUGAUACUGGAUGUCUUGAGUGCAGUUGAGGCAGGCGGAAUUCGUGGUGUAGCGGUGAAAUGCUUAGAUAUCACGAAGAACUCCGAUUGCGAAGGCAGCCUGCUAAGCUGCAACUGACAUUGAGGCUCGAAAGUGUGGGUAUCAAACAGGAUUAGAUACCCUGGUAGUCCACACGGU